GAGUCAGCAAUUUCACUCCGGUUCUUGGAUCUCACACCAGGCACUUUCUCUCCUCUCCCAGUCCUGCCCUCCGACCCUGUUUCAAUCAGCUCCGGGGACUGUCUACCUCCAGGACGGGUAAGGAUACCAUGUAACAAGUUCUAGGAGCAAACCGGCUCACUGGGAGAUGGAGGGCAAGGCUGCAGUAUAGGAAGGACCAUUACCAGCUGGCAAAAGAAAGCUCAAACUGCUGCAUCAGGGAGCUCCAGCCCGGGGGAGCUUCUAAAAGCUCUAGCCUGCAGAGGGGAAGCUGCUUCGAGACACUGAGUGCCGGCCAGACCAAUCUAUCCCUCUGGCCCUGCUGUGGGUCAUCGCCAUGUGCCUCAUCUGAGACUGUUUGGAUUUCCUACUGCUGCCUCACAGACGGGCUUCAGGCACAUUUUCUUUUUAAAUUUAGACAGACUUCAGUUUUCAUCAAAACCCUGCCGCUUUGAAACUGUGCUCUUGAGAAAAAGACUUUGUCCCUCCCCAGUGCCCCACGCCUCAACCCCACGAUGCUUAGCCAGUGGUUAAGAGCUAAUAUGGGCUCUGUUCAUCAUGUCACUGCCUGGCUUUGUUUAAAAUGGUGUGGAUUCUGAACAUUCUUUAAGUUCCUGACGUCAACCGUACACAUCAAAUUAAUACCGAAAUCCUCAUUUCGCUCUGGCCCAGAUUCUAGGCCCAGACCUAGUUAGCAGCCUUUCAGGAAGGCGAAUGGCUGCCAUGACCUAUGGAGAGUUUGGAUCUCAGAUGUCUUCUUGUUUGAGACAGGACAUCCCUUAGCUCGGGCUGGCCUACAACAAAUAUCUCUCGCCCCUGCCUCCUCAGAACUGGGAAUGAAGGUGUGUAUCCCUACUCCUGGUUAUUUGUUUUUUUAAUGUACACAUUAAGAUGUAUGUGCGUCAGUACCCACAUGACACCAUGAACAUGCUGGGCUAAAAGGACAACUCUGUGGAGACACUUCUCCCCUUUGGUCUGAAACUCAAGUCACCAGGCCUGGACCAUCAGAUGGCAAGACCACCUUUACCUCCUGAGUGAUCUGGCCAGCCUGCUUCUCAGGUAUUUUACAGUAGAGACAAAUACUUAGUAGAUUUUUCUAGGGUCACUUUGGGUCUUACAAACUUUGUGGCUCUGUUUCAGAAAGCCACGUUUAAUAGGUGGAGAGGAGGUGAGUGGGGCAAGUUGGGGGCUCGUCUAACUCUUUAUCUCUUGGCUGAGUCAGUGCUCUAUUUCUGUGAAGAAACAUCAUGACCAAGGCAACUCUUAGAAAAGAAAACGUUUAUUUGAGUGUGGCAGCCAGGGAGGUCCUAGAGCAAGAGCUGGGAGCUACUUCCGGGUCCACAGGAGGAGAGGCCAGGCCUGGCAUGGGCUUCUGAAACCUCAAAGCCUAUCUACCCCACAGUGACACGCCUCUAGCAAGGCCACGCCCACUCAAAGGCCACUCCUCCUGCUCCUCCUUGUGUCUUCACGUUGCCACUCUUCAGUGACUAAGCAUUCAAAUAUGAGACUAUGGGCGCCAUUCUUAUUCAAACUGCCACAUCUGCCUCCAGUUAUUUCCACUCAGAUAGAAAUGCAAUGUGACACAAAAUUCCUCAGAUUAAAUAACAGCAUGCUCCGCUGAAGGACUUGCAGAGCCACGGAAUGGAUGCUACCAAUAUGCUAAUGCAGCAGAGAAGGGAGGCCGAAGGGAAGCCUCCCCUCUCUCUGCCUGUCUAUCCUUCUUGCUUUUCCACCUCUCACGCCACUGUCCACAGCCUCCUGAGUGGCUGGCAGCAACAUCUACACCCAACUCUCUUCUUCAAUGUACUUGACUCUGACAGUUCCGGAGUCUCCCUCCACCUGCAUGUUAUUCAGCUGAGCUUUUCCUGGUUAUUUGGCGGGGGUGGGGCGGGGAGGGGGGUGGGGGGAAUUAGGGGGUGUAGUCACUAAUCGUAUGGCAUUGGCACCCCAUCAUCAACUCCAUUAAAGAACUAGAAUGGGGGUGGGGUGGGAAUGUAGCUGAAUGGGAAAUAACAUGUUUAGCAUGCUUGGUCUAAGUCCCAGUAUCACACACACACACACACACACACACACACACACACACACAAAAGGGAAGGGUUGGAUGGGGAUGGGGCGGGACUUUGAAGGUGUAGGCUGGCUAGUUUUGGGAGUUUCUGGUCCCAGAAGCUCAGGCUAAUUUGACAGACUACAUUCUGUUCUCCACAGACAGGCAGUCUUGAUAUUCUGCCUGCCACCUCCUCCAUGGGCCACCAGCAAGUAAAGACAGACAGCUGCAACUUGCCCUGUAAACCAGGCUUGCUGGAGAAGGGGCUGGGGCUCUAUCUAUAACCAAUCAUCUUAUACUUUCAUGGAAUCUUGGCAGCAGCCAAUGAGAACUUCAAAGGCUUGGCCUAGCUGUGGGAUGGGACAAUAAACAUGUUAAUCCCUUGUCUUAACUGCUUAGGACCUGCCUGUUCAGCCAGCAGCAGGGAGAAGGAGAGAGCAAUAGAGGUGAGGAGGUGAUGGCCAAAUGCCUCACAGAAGCCAAAGUGCAAGAGCCUGGAUCCCACAAACUUGUUCAAUAGUUUUCU
rnacentral:lncRNA from 1 species